CAAACAUCUUCUCAGCACUGACCCUUCGCAGUAUUCCAAUGCGUACAUGGAGGCGGAAUAUGCAAACGUUCCCUCCAGUAGCUCUUUCGAACCACCUCAUCCAUUUGUGGGACAUAUUGGUGUGCUUAUGCGCCGUGCAUCCAGUUUUUCCGAGCUUAUUGAUGAAUCUGGCAGUGCAACUGCGGAGGAAGGUUUCCAAGGUGUACUUACAGAAAAUAAUGUAUCUCCUGAAGAUGUCGAGUAUUGCAGACAGGUAGAGCUUCAUGAGAAGAUGGGAGGACGUGCAGUCUCAAACAGUGAGCUCAAAGAAAGCUCCAAGAAGAAGACUAAAAAAAUUGCGUUGCCAAUCUGGUGUAGGUGCUCCAAAGGCGGAACAGAGAAUGCAACGCUACCCUA